CCUACGGGAGGCAGCAGUGAGGAAUAUUGGUCAAUGGACGCAAGUCUGAACCAGCCAAGCCGCGUGAAGGAAGACGGUUCUGUGAGUUGUAAACUGCUUUUGUCAGGGGGCAAACGCGGAUACGCGUCUCCGUCUGACAGUAUCUUACGAAUAAGCAUCGGCUAACUCCGUGCCAGCAGCCGCGGUAAUACGGAGGAUUCCAGCGUUAUCCGGAUUUAUUGGGGUUAAAGGGUGCGUAGGCGGUCGGUUAAGUCAGCGGUGAAAUCCCGGGGCUCAACCCCGGAACUGCCUUUGAAACUGGCAGUCUAGAGAGGAGUAGAGGUAGGCGGAAUGUGUGGUGUAGCGGUGAAAUGCAUAGAUAUCAUGCAGAACACCGAUUGCGAAGGCAGCUUACCGGGCGAAUUCUGACGGUGAGGCACGAAAGCGUGGGGAGCGAACAGGAUUAGAUACCCGGGUAGUC
rnacentral:rRNA from 1 species